rnacentral:rRNA from 1 species
UACGUAGGGUCCGAGCGUUGUCCGGAAUUAUUGGGCGUAAAGAGCUCGUAGGCGGUCUGUCGCGUCGGCUGUGAAAACUCAGGGCUCAACCCUGAGCCUGCAGUCGAUACGGGCAGACUAGAGUUCGGUAGGGGAGACUGGAAUACUUGGUGUAGCAGUGAAAUGCGUAGAUAUCAAGUGGAACACCAGUGGCGAAGGCGAGUCUCUGGACAUUUCCUGACGCUGAGGCACGAAAGCCAGGGGAGCAAACGGG